AAAUUGUCAUUUUAUUAGGGCCCCGCCGACUAAGGCGGGUCGCCCUAUAGUGAUCAGUCUGUCCGUCCGUCUGUCCGUCCGUCCGUCCGUCCGUCCGUCCGUCCGUCCGUCCGUCCGUCCGUCCGUAACACUUUAACUUUGUGUCCGCUCUAUAUCUUAAAAACCGUUAUGAUUUCAAAGUUUAUACUUGACAUCCAUUUUAACCAACACCAGAGGGUGUGUCAUGAUGUAUGUAAAACUUCCUAGGUCAAAGGUCAAGGUCAAAAACUUUGGUUUCAGUUGACAACCCUGUGUCCUGUGGUGAAGAUCGUGUCCGCUCUAUAUCUUGAGAACCAUUAUCAUUUCAAAGUUUAUACUUGACAUGUAUAUAAACCAACACCAAAGGGUGUGUCAUAAUUUAUGUGCAACUUCCUAGGUCAAAGGUCAAGGUCAAAAACUUUGGUUUCAGUUGACAACCCCAUGUCAUAUGGUAAAGAUCGUGUCCGCUCUAUAUCUUGAGAACCAUUAUCAUUUCAAAGUUUAUACUUGACAUGUUUAUAAACCAACACCAAAGGGUGUGUCAUAAUUUAUUUACAACUUCCUAGGUCAAAGGUCAAGGUCAAAAACUUUGGUUUCAGUUGACAACCCCAUGUCCUAUGGUAAAGAUCGUGUCCGCUCCAUAUCUUGAGAACCAUUAUCAUUUCAAAGUUUAUACUUGACAUGUUUAUAAACCAACACCAAAGGGUGUGUCAUAAUUUAUUUACAACUUCCUAGGUCAAAGGUCAAGGUCAAAAACUUUGAUUUCAGUUGACAAACCCAUGUCCUAUGGUAAAGAUACAAUUUUUUAAUGCACAUUAUUCACAGCGGGGCCCACAGAGAUGGCUUCCAUCUCAAUGAUAUCUAGUUUCUUU
rnacentral:lncRNA from 1 species